GCCCGGCUAGCUCAAUCGGUAGAGCGUGAGACUCUUAAUUCACAGCUGUCCCAUAUGGCGCGCAGUGAAGGAUAAUCUCAAGGUUGUGGGUUCGACCCCCACGUCGGGCU